CAGUUGUGUUGCAUCGUGGGAAAUGGAGUAUCCAGUCUUGUGAAAUGCUUGACGCACUUGUGGAAACAAAAACCAGGACAUUUUGUCCCCCGUUUUGGCCGUUAUUUCGUGAUUAAACAAAUCUAUCUGAACCAUUCCUCUUGCGUUCGGCGAGCUCCGGGUUUAAGGUCGUAGUUUGUAACCAGCUGUUGGUACGUUAGCUGAAGCAGGGCGGAGCGUCUACAUGAUGACACUCUCGUUUGCAUCACCAUAAGGACGCUGCUUCCAUGUAAACACUUGUGAGCUCAGUGAGGCGGGCUCCACCCGGGGGGGGGUUACUGAUGGAGGUGUAAAGACACUCUGACCCGGUGUUCUGUGGACAUGACGGACGUCGAGCGUCACAGCGGGUUCCCCGACGCAGGGCCCCCCCGCCGCAGCGCGAGGGAGACUCACCACCCGGACCUCGGCCUCGGAGCCAAACACGGGCCCACCCCGGUCCCCGGCGGCCUCACGGGGUCCGUCACCCCUCCGCCGGAGGCCCGCAGGGGGGCCUCCCCGCCACCCCGACGCCCGGAGGUCGACUCCCAUGAGCCCCCCGCCGGUUCCCAGGGAGAAACCCUCACCCGCUGCCCUCCCGACCCCGCCCACUCUGCGGAGGGAGAGCCCGAGCACGGCGACAAAGGACGUCCGACCCCCCCGACUCCGGGGCCGCUCGCCAUGGAGGAGCAGCGAUCUCCCUCUCCACACUUUUCUCCUCAGAGACUCAGCGACAAGCCUCCGGCCUCUCUGCAGGACGAGGACCCCCCCAGGUAAGAAAUACACUUCAGAACACAUUGUCAUUCAGCGGAUUUACCCACAUUCUGAUCGCUGAGCUACCCUCAAAAAAUACAAUCAUAACUCAGCGCCGCCCUCCGUGUCUUCACGCCGGAGCACAAAGGAGCUCGUUCAUUCUCUGCUGUCAUUUCAAGGAAUUCCCCACAUUUCUACAAAAGCCACGAGGCUUAAUGAACGCCGCUAUCACAAAGCUGCUUCUUCGUCUUCUUGAUUCAGAAAUGAUCGCUCUGUGGUGAACCUCGGAUCAUCAGAGCCAGGACGUGGGGGGAGGAGUCAGCACGGCGUCGUUGAUCUAUUCAGAGUGCGGGGCGGAAAAAAGGAAAGAUCUGGUUUGAGUCGGAAUAAAAGUCUCUCUCUCUCCCUCUGACAUCUCAGGACGGAGCAUGUGGUAGAAAAGCCACAUUCCGCAGCGAGGAAAGUUCCCAUCAGGAUCGUCCACUCGGAGGUCGCGGCGGACAAGGAGGCGUGUCCCUAUCUGCAGCACGGCGACGCCCCCCACGCCGUCGAAGCCGAGGGUCCCGGCGUGAUCCGGCUGGGCGGUCGAGGGGCCACGGGGCAGGACUCUGGCUUCUGUGCGUUCACUCGGCAGGGGGAGACCGCUCAGGCCGACGCCUACAUGACCACCGUUGGAGAUCACGGCCUCUCCGACGGACCGCCGCCGGCCCACGCCGAGGUCACGGAGGUUACGGAGGUCACACGGCUCUCUGAGGAUCAGAAGAGAGACGAGUUGGCUCGCAGCAUCAUGGGAAAGGAUAAAUCGCUCACUGAAAUCCUGGACCAGAGCAAGAUGAAGACCACCAUGGACCUGAUGGAGGGCAUCUUCCCCCAGGAGGAGCAGCUGCUGGAAGGAGCUCACCAGCGCAGG
ensembl:lncRNA